rnacentral:rRNA from 1 species
UACGUAGGGUGCAGGCGUUAAUCGGAAUUACUGGGCGUAAAGCGUGCGCAGGCGGUUUCUUAAGUCAGAUGUGAAAGCCCCGGGCUUAACCUGGGAACUGCGUUUGAAACUGGGAGACUUGAGUGUGGCAGAGGGGGGUGGAAUUCCACGUGUAGCAGUGAAAUGCGUAGAUAUCAGGAGGAAUACCGAUGGCGAAGGCAGGUCUCUGGGCUGACACUGACGCUCAUGCACGAAAGCGUGGGGAGCAAACAGG